ACGAGUGUCCUUCUGCGGUGUCGGUGACGCGCGGCCGACGGCUUCCAUCGUCUCGAAACUCCGGGUUUUCCGAGGAAAUAUCGAGAUCUCCGUUCCCCACGGAUCUGCACACCCAUCGCGAUGGCAUACCGAGACCGUGAUCGUGACAGGCGGGGUGGCGGUGGCCGAGGCGGUGGCGGUGGCGGAGGAGGGCGAUUUGGUGGCCGAGAUGGCGGUAGCAGGUUUGGCGGUGGUGGAGGAGGACCAGGAGGGCGAGAUGGAGGAGGCUUCGGCAAUGGCUCCUUUAAGAACCGACAGCCUGGAGAGCGUUUGCGCAAACCGAGAUGGGACAUGAGCACUCUGCAAACAUUUCGAAAGGAUUUCUAUCAGCCUCAUCCCAAUGUGUCGGCUCGCAAUCUUCAUACAGUGGAGGCGUACCGCUCCGACAAGGAGAUCACCGUCAAAGGAACCAAUGUACCUAGCCCAAAUAUCUACUUCGAAGAGGGUGGCUUCCCAGAGUACGUGCUGAACGAGAUUCGACGACAAGGCUUUGGAGAACCCACCGCGAUCCAGGCACAGGGCUGGCCGAUCGCCCUGUCGGGUCGUGACAUGGUAGGCAUCGCACAGACUGGCUCCGGAAAGACUCUGGCAUAUAUUCUGCCAGCAAUCGUUCACAUUAACAACCAGCCUCGACUGAAUCGAGGGGACGGACCCAUCGCUCUCAUCCUGGCACCGACCAGGGAGCUGGCACAGCAGAUCCAGCAGGUGGCCUCCGACUUCGGGGUCUCCUCCCAAGUGAGAAACACCUGCAUCUUCGGGGGCGCCCCGAAGGGACCACAAGCUCGCGAUCUUGAGCGCGGUGUCGAGAUCUGCAUAGCAACCCCGGGACGGCUGAUCGACUUCCUGGAGCGCGGGACGACGAACCUUCGCCGGUGCACAUACCUGGUCCUGGAUGAGGCCGAUCGCAUGCUCGACAUGGGCUUUGAACCCCAAAUCAGGAAGAUUGUUGAACAAAUCCGACCAGACCGGCAGACCCUGAUGUGGUCUGCGACCUGGCCCAAGGAGGUGCGCAAUCUCGCCGAGGAAUUCCUCACGGACUAUAUCCAGAUCAACAUCGGCUCCCUCCAGCUUGCCGCCAAUCACAAUAUCCUCCAGAUCGUCGAUGUCUGCGAGGAGUACGAGAAGGAGGCGAAACUCAUGAAACUCCUGGAGGAGAUCUCAAACGAGCCCGAGAACAAGACAAUCAUCUUCGUUGAGACCAAGAGGAAGGUCGACGACAUCACCCGGGCCAUCAAUAGGUACGGCUGGCAGGCCAUCGGCAUCCAUGGCGACAAGAGCCAGCAGGAGAGGGAUUACGUGUUAAAUCAAUUCCGGAGCAGCAGAUCCGCCAUUCUGGUGGCGACUGACGUGGCGGCCCGAGGUCUAGAGGCACAUGCGAGACGGAGUGUUUAUCAUUGAUAAGAACUCCCUGGGAGAGCUUGGUUUGGAUUAGAUUGAAUUGAGAAACGGGGCGUGACUGCUGGUCGGCGCACCCCCCUCGCAACAAGCUAUUACCUAAAACGCUGUGCCUCGACCUGUGCCGUGCCACUCGAGAAAAGAUAACACUGCACGCUCUCUCGCUCUAUACCCGAGACGGUCCAAAGUAUGGAGGACGUAGUGCCUGGGCACCCGACGAGACCGCACACAGAGACGCGCAAACGCACCGCUUGGACAACUUACAUGCGUAUAUAUGUGUAUAUAUAUAUAUUUCUCUCUCCUUAUGGGUACUCUCUCUUUGCUCUCUCUCUGUGCGUCCCGAUCUCCAUCUCUUUCGCCAGAGGAGAAGGCAUCAAGCUGGACGUUUACUUGCAAACCAUCGACUCGGUACCAAGUGGCGGUAUAUAAUAAUCCAUCCGAGUUUGCCGAUCUGCGCGUCUCGAUGAUUAGAAACAAUGUAGACUUGACGCGGAUUAAUUAGUAGAGCCUCGAGAGGGGAAUGCUUUCUAUGUAUUGACGACAUUUCUCGCGUAAAUGUAUUUGGCGCGGAACUCUACCGGGUUUCUUUACUCGCGAGAACAGCUGUUCGUCGCUCGGCUCUUUCUGGGGGGUAUUCACUCAAGAAAUCGUGUAUUUUAACGCUCGAAAUCACGUGGAAAUCAGAUAGAUAUCUUGAAAUUACCAAACACACAAUUUAAAGGCCGAACGUCACUUGUUGCCGAAUCGCAUUGUUGCUUAUCAUACACUAAGGAAGAAAAUGUCGUUGAACCUUUGAAUGGUGCCAAUGAAAUUCGGCGUGUUAAUUCAAAGGAUAAUUGUUUGAGUUAAGUUGUGGAUAAUUUAAAAUGAAACGUUGCAUACAAAUUUAUUCGAGUUUUAGUGAAGUAAUUGUCCUUUGAAUUAACAUGCCGAAUUUCUUUGGCACUGUUUAAGGAAAUAAUCUCUUUGGUUCGACGACGUUUUCUUGGUUCUUCGUGUAUGAAGUCGUUUCCGCUGAAUUUCGAGGGACAAUCGAGUGCUUUUACUUUUCGUAUUUCUUUCUUUUGGAGACCUCCAGGUCUCGGAUCAGGUCGGUGUCUCAAAAGAGCCGUGAAACUUUGCAAGAGAUGUCCUUUAUCCCUUGAUGCCACUCGCUGGUUACGGAGCAACCGGUCCAGGGGUGCUGCAGGUGUGCUGCAGGUGUGCCUCGGACCUGGAGAGACUAGAGAGAGGGAGAAACUAAAGACACGACGAUGUCUUUUAAAGUCCGGCACGGAGAUAUCCAUACUUUGGCGCGGAAGAGAAGGGCGUGGAGAGAGAGUCGCUAAAGACCUAGAACUCACUAGAGUUCGUCCUAGAGCGAGACUCCUAUGACAACCAUCUGAGCACUGAUUCCUCUACAUUGUCCAAAAAAACAAAAUGUAUUUACAUUUCCAGCCCUAGGCAGCAUACCGAGAUGUGGAGGACGUCAAAUUUGUUAUUAACCUGGACUACCCCUCCAACUCGGAGGAUUAUGUGCACCGAAUCGGGCGUACCGGACGGUCCCAGAGGACUGGCACCGCGUACGCCUUCUUUACCCCCGGGAACGCGCAC
rnacentral:misc_RNA from 1 species